rnacentral:misc_RNA from 1 species
AACGCACCUUGCGCUCUAGGGCUAUUCCUUAGAGCAUGCUUGUUUGAGUGUCGCGUACCUCUCAACCCCCAACUUUAUAAAAAAAGGUUGUGUGAGGGUUGGAUCGUGGCGUCUUGUCAGGACUUUUAUGGUUCCGACUGCGCUGAAAUGCAACAAGCUGUAUCCUUGACGUGUUGGCGGCUUGACCCGUUGUUGUAACCUUUCAAAAACUCAAUGGGGACGCCCGUCGGAAGGAGCUUACCAAAAAAUCAAAUGAUCAUACCUUUGACCUCAAAUCAAGUAGGACUACCCGCUGAACUUAA